rnacentral:ncRNA from 1 species
AAAAAAGCGAAGACGGGGAGGAGUACAACAGUUCGCUCCUGCAGAGAGGGAAAUCAUAAGCUGCGAGAUUUCCUAGGAUGUCGACUGUUGGAAGGUCGCCCUUGAGCUGCUUCGUUGAAAGGCGAAACCGCUGAGUAGGGGAAGCCGGCUUGAUGCCGUUAUGCUAAUGAAGUGCUUAAGCCUCUAGGAGACGGGUGAUUGAAAGGAGAAUGUCGUUGAAAGACGCAAGUCGAGAAACCUUGCGGCCGCUCCUGAUGGAAUAUUGCCCGAUGCUCGGAAAAUGGCACCUUUUCACCGUUCUUCUAGGCUUAAGAAAAAAGGUGGUACCGCGAAAGCAGCUCCUUUCGUCCUUUUU